CUAAUACAUGCAAGUCGAGCGAACAGACGAGGAGCUUGCUCCUCUAACGUUAGCGGCGGACGGGUGAGUAACACGUGGAUAACCUACCUAUAAGACUGGGAUAACUUCGGGAAACCGGAGCUAAUACCGGAUAAUAUACUGAACCGCAUGGUUCAAUAGUGAAAGACGGUUUUGCUGUCACUUAUAGAUGGAUCCGCGCCGCAUUAGCUAGUUGGUAAGGUAACGGCUUACCAAGGCAACGAUGCGUAGCCGACCUGAGAGGGUGAUCGGCCACACUGGAACUGAGACACGGUCCAGACUCCUACGGGAGGCAGCAGUAGGGAAUCUUCCGCAAUGGGCGAAAGCCUGACGGAGCAACGCCGCGUGAGUGAUGAAGGUCUUCGGAUCGUAAAACUCUGUUAUUAGGGAAGAACAAAUGUGUAAGUAACUAUGCACGUCUUGACGGUACCUAAUCAGAAAGCCACGGCUAACUACGUGCCAGCAGCCGCGGUAAUACGUAGGUGGCAAGCGUUAUCCGGAAUUAUUGGGCGUAAAGCGCGCGUAGGCGGUUUUUUAAGUCUGAUGUGAAAGCCCACGGCUCAACCGUGGAGGGUCAUUGGAAACUGGAAAACUUGAGUGCAGAAGAGGAAAGUGGAAUUCCAUGUGUAGCGGUGAAAUGCGCAGAGAUAUGGAGGAACACCAGUGGCGAAGGCGACUUUCUGGUCUGUAACUGACGCUGAUGUGCGAAA
rnacentral:rRNA from 1 species